GCCGGGCGCGGUGGCGCGUGCCUGUAGUCCCAGCUACUAGGGAGGCUGAGGCUGGAGGAUCGCUUGAGUCCAGGAGUUCUGGGCUGUAGUGCGCUAUGCCGAUCGGGUGUCCGCACUAAGUUCGGCAUCAAUAUGGUGACCUCCCGGGAGCGGGGGACCACCAGGUUGCCUAAGGAGGGGUGAACCGGCCCAGGUCGGAAACGGAGCAGGUCAAAACUCCCGUGCUGAUCAGUAGUGGGAUCGCGCCUGUGAAUAGCCACUGCACUCCAGCCUGGGCAACAUAGCGAGACCCUGUCUCUA
rnacentral:SRP_RNA from 1 species